UCAUCGGCCCUUUUCAGGGCCACCACUUGUUAAAGAAAAAAGUAU
rfam:Daphnia magna strain Xinb3 contig26221, whole genome shotgun sequence.